rnacentral:rRNA from 1 species
AACGAACGCUGGCGGCAGGCUUAACACAUGCAAGUCGAGCGCCCCGCAAGGGGAGCGGCAGACGGGUGAGUAACGCGUGGGAAUCUACCCAUCUCUACGGAAUAACGCAUGGAAACGUGUGCUAAUACCGUAUACGUCCUUCGGGAGAAAGAUUUAUCGGAGAGGGAUGAGCCAGCGUUGGAUUAGCUAGUUGGUGGGGUAAAGGCCUACCAAGGCGACGAUCCAUAGCUGGUCUGAGAGGAUGAUCAGCCACACUGGGACUGAGACAUGGCCCAGACUCCUACGGGAGGCAGCAGUGGGGAAUAUUGGACAAUGGGCGCAAGCCUGAUCCAGCCAUGCCGCGUGAGUGAUGAAGGCCCUAGGGUUGUAAAGCUCUUUCACCGGUGAAGAUAAUGACGGUAACCGGAGAAGAAGCCCCGGCUAACUUCGUGCCAGCCGCCGCGGUAAAAC